CUGGUGGUGAGAGCAGGGGAGGGGCUGGGAGCCAGGACUCCUGGGUUCUCCCCAGCGCUGGGAGGAGAGUGGGGGCUGGUGGUAAGAGCGGGGAGGGGCUGGGAGCCAGGACUCCUGGGUUCUCUCCCCGGCUCUGGGAGGGGAUGGGGGCUGGUGGUGAGAGCAGGAGGGGCUGGGAGCCAGGACUCCUGGGUUCUCUCCCCGGCUCUGGGAGGGCAGUGGGGGCUGGUGGUGAGAGCAGGAGGGGCUGGGAGCCAGGACUCCUGGGUUCUCUCCCUGGCU